GACCUGACUGCUAUCGGAUUGAUACUAAGCCAUGCGAGUCUUUGUAGUAAUACAAGGCAUACGGCUCAGUAACACGUAGUCAACCUACCCUAUGGACGAGAAUAAUCUCGGGAAACUGAGCAUAAUUCUUGAUAGAUCAUAAUGCCUGGAAUGGUUUAUGGUUAAAAUGAUUCGUCGCCAUAGGAUGGGACUGCGGCCUAUCAGCUUGUUGGUGAGGUAAUGGCCCACCAAGGCGAUUACAGGUACGGGCUCUGAGAGGAGAAGCCCGGAGAUGGGUACUGAGACACGGACCCAGGCCCUAUGGGGCGCAGCAGGCGAGAAAACUUUGCAAUGUGCGAAAGCACGACAAGGUUAAUCCGAGUGAUUUCUGCUAAAGAAAUCUUUUGCCAGUCAUAAAACCACUGGUGAAUAAGGGGUGGGCAAGUUCUGGUGUCAGCCGCCGCGGUAAAACCAGCACCUCAAGUGGUCAGGAUGAUUAUUGGGCCUAAAGCAUCCGUAGCCGGUUUUGUUAGUUUUCGGUUAAAUUCAUGUGCUCAACGCAUGGGCCGCCGAAAAUACUGCACAGCUAGGGAGUGGGAGAGGUAGACGGUACUCAAUAGGAAGGGGUAAAAUCCUUUGAUCUAUUGAUGACCACCUGUGGCGAAGGCGGUCUACCAGAACACGUUCGACGGUGAGGGAUGAAAGCUGGGGGAGCAAACCGGAUUAGAUACCCGGGUAGUCCCAGCUGUAAACGAUGCAGACUCGAUGAUGCAUUGGCAUAUAGCCAGUGCAGUGUCGCAGGGAAGCCGUUAAGUCUGCCGCCUGGGAAGUACGUACGCAAGUAUGAAACUUAAAGGAAUUGGCGGGGGAGCACCACAAGGGGUGAAGCCUGCGGUUCAAUUGGAUUCAACGC
rnacentral:rRNA from 1 species